ACCAGGCAUGGUGGUGUGGGCCUGUGGUCCCAGAUACUCGGGGGGGCUGCGGUAGGAGGAUCACUUGAGCCUGGGAGUGUAGCUCAGGUGUUGGAGGCCAGCCCAGGCGAUACAGCAAGACCCUACAU
rnacentral:sRNA from 1 species